rnacentral:rRNA from 1 species
CACGGGUGAGUAACACGUAUCCAACCUGCCGUCUACUCUUGGCCAGCCUUCUGAAAGGAAGAUUAAUCCAGGAUGGGAUCAUGAGUUCACAUGUCCGCAUGAUUAAAGGUAUUUUCCGGUAGACGAUGGGGAUGCGUUCCAUUAGAUAGUAGGCGGGGUAACGGCCCACCUAGUCAACGAUGGAUAGGGGUUCUGAGAGGAAGGUCCCCCACAUUGGAACUGAGACACGGUCCAAACUCCUACGGGAGGCAGCAGUGAGGAAUAUUGGUCAAUGGGCGAUGGCCUGAACCAGCCAAGUAGCGUGAAGGAUGACUGCCCUAUGGGUUGUAAACUUCUUUUAUAAAGGAAUAAAGUCGGGUAUGCAUACCCGUUUGCAUGUACUUUAUGAAUAAGGAUCGGCUAACUCCGUGCCAGCAGCCGCGGUAAUACGGAGGAUCCGAGCGUUAUCCGGAUUUAUUGGGUUUAAAGGGAGCGUAGAUGGAUGUUUAAGUCAGUUGUGAAAGUUUGCGGCUCAACCGUAAAAUUGCAGUUGAUACUGGAUGUCUUGAGUGCAGUUGAGGCAGGCGGAAUUCGUGGUGUAGCGGUGAAAUGCUUAGAUAUCACGAAGAACUCCGAUUGCGAAGGCAGCCUGCUAAGCUNGCAACUGACAUUGAG